rnacentral:rRNA from 1 species
UGGGGAAUCUUGCCCAAUGGGCGCAAGCCUGAGGCAGCAACGCCGCGUGCGGGAAGAAGGCUCUCGGGUUGUAAACCGCUUUCAGCAGGAACGAAACUGACGGUACCUGCAGAAGAAGGUGCGGCCAACUACGUGCCAGCAGCCGCGGUGACACGUAGGCACCAAGCGUUGUCCGGAUUUAUUGGGCGUAAAGAGCUCGUAGGCGGUUCGGUAAGUCGGGUGUGAAAUCCCUGGGCUCAACCCAGGAAGUGCACCCGAUACUGCUGUGACUUGAGUUCGGUAGGGGAGUGCGGAAUUCCUGGUGUAGCGGUGGAAUGCGCAGAUAUCAGGAGGAACACCAAUGGCGAAGGCAGCACUCUGGGCCGAAACUGACGCUGAGGAGCGAAAGCGUGGGGAGCGAACAGGAUUAGAUACCCUGGUAGUCCACGCCGUAAACGUUGGGCACUAGGUGUGGGCUCGUAACCAACGAGAUCCGCGCCGUCGCUAACGCAUUAAG